AGAAAAUCUUUGAAAACGAAUGUGUUAAUGUGCUGAGUUGUUGUUUGGCAGAGUUGUACCAGAAUACUAUUAAGUAGUUGACGCUCAUUAAAACUUAUUUUUUUGUAAAAAUAAUAAUAAAACAUAUAUCAAGCCAAUGGGGUCGGAAUGGAUUCUUUGGACUUUAAACGAUGACAUACUGUGUUUAUUUUGUUUUGUUUGAAGAUCACGCUGGUGGCGGGUUACGUCAGCUAGCAAGCUUCUGGCAUUGCCUCUUGCCUGAUUAUAACUAACCCUGAUCCACACGAUGACGAGUCACCGCUUUAGCUGCAGGGUUACAUGACUUCACACACAGCAUAUGCUCGCCCGCUCCAAAAAUAGACAUACCUGAUCUGCUGUCCAACUUGGUGACUGCGUCCUUAACGGCUGGCCCCCAGACAGAGAGGAUGCCAAAUCCUAAUUGCACAGCUAAUUUAGUGGCUAGGGUUUCCUAGGUGAGUGGUUCCCCACCGGGGGUCACUGUAGAGAUGCUGAGGCAGGUUCCAGGUGGGGGAACUUGUGAAUAUUUUUAGUUUAUAAAACAAAGUGCAGAUAAUUGCGUUAUUGUUCGACAUCAAUGACAGAAACUCAUCAUGAAUAUGUAUGACUGCCUGGAUUCAAGGUCACUCAUUAGCCAUAACAAAUAGAGAAGGGUCUCAGAUUGGUCCCGCAUUGACAAAAUGACGUGGACCUUUGCAGAAGUCCGCCGUCAGGUCCGUCAAUGUAUUUCUACGUGAAUCGGGGGUCAAAAUAAAUCACACAAUCCAUCCAUCGUUUUGACCGGGUUACAGUUAUUGUUCAAGCUAAUUGGAGAGGGCAGAAGGCCUGAAACAGUUCUUGCAAAUAUGGAGGGGGAGUUCAUCAUUGUUAUCACUUGUUUUUACUGGAAUAUAAUUUAAAAGUGAUGUCUAUGUUCACUUUUAUUACGCUUCUGUUUGUCACAAAUUGCAUGGCUCAGCCGACUUUCUCUUCAGUUAUUUUGUAGAUUUAUCUCUCUGCAUACAUUUCUUUUUUCCCCCCCAAUAUAUUAUUGAAGAUUUUAUUUUUAUAUUUGAAUAGCUUUGAUUUAAAUAAACUCAUAAAAAGGUUUUUCAUAAAUACAGGAAAUCUUUAUUUAACAUUUUCGUGUACAAACGUAGACUUCAAAUGCCUACCAAACAUGGAUGCUCUCAGAAUACAUAAUUUGUUUACAGUUCUACAACAGGAGCACUGAUGCUGGAACAGUAACAGGACAUUUUUAAAAAAUAAAAAAGACUCUGUUCUAGUAAACAAAUCCCAUCAUCAUUUAUAUCUCAAAUUGUAUCAUGAACAAAAGAAGCCAGGCCUUUUAUUCAUGAGCGGUAGUGAACUCACGUUUACAUGGCAGACAAAGGGAGAUUGGCGUCAUGUAGCGUAUGCAAGAUGUUCAAGAGACACGUGAUAUGGGUAUUGAUGUGAUGAUAUUUUUAUUUUUACAUUAAAUUAAUUCGUUCCAUACACAGUUCCACACUCAAAUGGUAGCUUUAUAUAGAGGGCUAUAUUCCAUAUGUUUGCUUAAUUUCAAAUUAUGUCGGCAUAUUGACUUUUCAUGUACAGGGGUGAUGUAUGGAGGACACAUGCAAUUACACUUCAACAAACAAAAAUAUGGGUUGAUUUGAGAAUAACCCUAUUUUAUUUGAGAGUACGUAAAAGUUGCCCCUCCCUUAGCAGAUAAUGACAGAUGGCUACUUAAAAGAAACUACAACUAUACAAGCAAGGAUCAACCUUCCAUCAAUUGAUUAAAACUUAAUCAGGAGCCACAAUAAAUAAAAAAUGUCCCAUCCAAAUUACAUUUUUUUUGUAAAAUACAUAUUCUACAAGGAAACUUCCCAGGAUAAGUUAAGAGUUUUGAGGAGUGAAAAGCUCAAGGAAAUGUUAUUUAAUUGACUCGACAACCUCCUCCAUGUUAGCCGGUUAUCUAAACCAGUGAGCCCAGAAGUCACAGUGGCCAGUCAGUUGAACACAAUAAAUUAAAAGACUGAAGGCGCAAGCUCAGUCAUGGCUGAAUACAAGUGGUUAAAGCAUGUACACGUUUCUGCCAUCUAAAUACAAUAAAUACGAUAGAACUGUUUACAAUUAAAAAAUUAUAAGCAGAAGUGAGACAAUAUGUCUCCUUCACAUACAGUGGCAGAGGAUUCUGUUGUCUCAAAGUUGUACCGUACAAGACUGAAGUUCUAGUUUUAAUUUAAAUGUAUAUACUAUGAGUUAUUUUAUAUAUAAACAAUCAAAUAUAUAUCCCCCUUGAUACAUAAUUUGGACAAAAAUAAAGACACAGAUCAUGUUUAUGUAAGGUGAUGAGACAAGGCCUUGGGCAAGAUAUCCUGUUGAAUUAGUGUCGAAAAAAAAUGCAAUGCUUAGGUCCUAAUCUACAGCAUUAUAGUCCCAUUAGGAAGAUAAGCAGCACAAACACAGUUUACGAGUUCAGACCAUACCAGAAUAUAAAUUCCUAUACAAGUCACUCAUACCCAACAAAAAACUGAAAUACGGGUGUCCACCACAAAGGCAUGGUAUCCCCGCCUACUCAGGGCACUGGUGCGGUGCCACUCUUUCAAAGCAUCACUUCUCUUCGCUAUACUGUCGCUUGGUAUCUAGUCAACAAACGACUACCGCUCUUUGCUGCCAGAAAUAUGACAGACGGAAUGCCAUUUUUCCCCCCCAUCACCGGUACACAGCGGGGCAGCUCUGAGCCACAGCAGACAGUGAACGCUAGCGGGAGCCUUUAUGACAGUCAAUGUUUCUGUGUGGAGAGAGUAGCUACGUCGAAAAUGCGAUUAAUUAACAGUUAAAAAGAAUAAGGCUCGGAGGCUUCCUCAGAGCGUGUGUUGUUGCCAUAUGAUUCGGGAGGCGCUAUGAGAGCAACCUUGACCAGGUUAUUUAAUUCGAGUGGAUGAAGUUUACGUAAGGCCGCGGCCAUACGAGGCAAUAAAUAAGAAAAGUUUAGAAAUUAUUGUAACAUUGAAAAUAUUGGAUUUGACAGGUUAUGGCUAACCUAAGAUAAGUAAUAAAGAGUCAGUAAUAAUAUGAAACAACUUUCAAUUCCUUUGGGCUGAUAAGCUCCUUUGUUAUAGUUUCAUCCACAAAAAAAGGGGUUUAAGCAACUGAAAAUUUGUGAAAGUGUUAAGACUUAUAUUGGUUGAUACGUUUAACAAAGUAACGAUUUCUCGACCUCCACCAAAUGAUACAGCAUUUAUUUAUUACUCAUGUAUAGCAUUAAUUCCUCCUUCCUGUGGACACACCUAUCGGCAACGCACAGACACAUACGCCAUGUACACACACACACACACACACACACACACACACACACACACACACACACACACACACACACACACAC
ensembl:lncRNA